CAGCUGGACCGAAAUACACCGCAUACAGAUUGGCAGCUGGGGGCGUGUGCUAUUCAAGGUGGCGCGGGCGGCCGGUAAGUCGCUGGCCUUCCCCAUACGCAUAGCCUUCAACCUGGGCCAGGCCAUUGUCAGCUUCUUUGGGCUGCUGGGCACCGAGAUAGGCGCCACGUUUAACACUGCCAUCAACAAGGUGAUUGACGGCGCGAAUUGGGCCAUACGCCAGCUGAACCGCAUAAAGG
rnacentral:misc_RNA from 1 species